rnacentral:rRNA from 1 species
UACGUAGGCAGCAAGCGUUGUUCGGAGUUACUGGGCGUAAAGAGUGUGUAGGCGGUCGUCCAAGUUUGGUGUGAAAUCUCCCGGCUCAACUGGGAGGGUGCGCCGAAAACUGGAAGGCUGGAGUAUGGGAGAGGAAAGCGGAAUUCCUGGUGUAGCGGUGAAAUGCGUAGAUAUCAGGAGGAACACCUGCGGUGUAGACGGCUUUCUAGACCAUCACUGACGCUGAGACACGAAAGCGUGGGUAGCAAACAGG